rnacentral:rRNA from 1 species
GCAAGUCGAACGAUGAAAUUCUGACGGAGGCUUCGGGCCAAACUGAAGGAUGGAUUAGUGGCGGACGGGUGAGUAAUACCUAGGAAACUGCCUAAACGAGGGGGAUAACCAUUUGGAAACGAGUGCUAAUACCGCAUAAUACUGAGAAGUCAAAGGUUGGUUUACCAAUCGCGUUUAGAUGUGCCUAGGAGGGAUUAGAUAGUUGGUGGGGUUAACGGCCCACCAAGUCGACGAUUGGUAGCCGGACUGAGAGGUUGAACGGCCACAUUGGGACUGAGACACGGCCCAGACUCCUACGGGAGGCAGCAGUGGGGGAUAUUGCACAAUGGGGGAAACCCUGAUGCAGCAACGCCGCGUGAAGGAAGAAGGUCUUCGGAUUGUAAACUUCUGUUUUUAGUGAAGAAACAAAUGACGGUAGCUAAAGAGGAAGCCACGGCUAACUACGUG